rnacentral:rRNA from 1 species
AGUGAACGCUGGCGGUAGGCCUAACACAUGCAAGUCGAACGGCAGCACAGUAAGAGCUUGCUCUUACGGGUGGCGAGUGGCGGACGGGUGAGGAAUACAUCGGAAUCUACUUUUUCGUGGGGGAUAACGUAGGGAAACUUACGCUAAUACCGCAUACGACCUACGGGUGAAAGCAGGGGAUCUUCGGACCUUGCGCGAUUGAAUGAGCCGAUGUCGGGUUAGCUAGUUGGCGGGGUAAAGGCCCACCAAGGCGACGAUCCGUAGCUGGUCUGAGAGGAUGAUCAGCCACACUGGAACUGAGACACGGUCCAGACUCCUACGGGAGGCAGCAGUGGGGAAUAUUGGACAAUGGGCGCAAGCCUGAUCCAGCCAUACCGCGUGGGUGAAGAAGGCCUUCGGGUUGUAAAGCCCUUUUGUUGGAAAGAAAAGCAGCAGGUUAAUACCCCGCUGUUCUGACGGUACCCAAAGAAUAAGCACCGGCUAACUUCGUG